CGUCUGACUUUCUUUAUGGAGGGAGGAGGCUAUCUAUGUGUGUGUGUGUGUGUGUGUGUGUGUGUCUGUGUUUUUGUGUUUGAGUGUGCGUGAGGUUCACACACUUUGUGCUGACUGCAGUGAAAGCGGAGGGUCAGGGAUAGUUAGACCUUGUCCUCUCUGCAGACUGAACAACUGGAACAACUCUGAAGAUCUGGGAAACUACAGCAGCUACAUUCACUACUGCGAGUACUGCAGUACAAACCUGAGAUGAUUUUCAACAUCUCUGUUAUUGCUGGGUUUAUGCAUAUCUGAAUAGUCUGCUGGAUGGAGAUGAUGGUACAGAACCUGGAUCAUAACUGUGCCGGUGAAGCUGAAGAGGACCUGAAAAGAACAACCCCAAACAUGCAGCACACUAUGAAACAUCCAGCUGUGCAAGAUGAGCAGCAACACCACAGCAGGAAAACUCUGACAUGAAGUUUGAGUGUUCCAGCAGGACAGAGACUCAAAAUCAUAGCCACAGGUGAAAUAUUUUCCAGGCCACAAACGCAAGUCGACGUACAUUAAACUCACCACGAUCUUAAAGAAACCUUUUAUUCAACAACACCUGUGAGCAUAUUUAGGGUCAAACAUCUGCAUCCACAAACACAUGGCAGGAAACGUGUGCAGCCUUUCUUUAUGAC